rnacentral:rRNA from 1 species
UCCGUAGGUGGAUAAUUAAGUCCGAGGUGAAAUCCUGCAGCUCAACUGUAGAAUUGCCUUUGAUACUGGUUAUCUUGAGUCAUUAUGAAGUGGUUAGAAUGUGUAGUGUAGCGGUGAAAUGCAUAGAUAUUACACAGAAUACCGAUUGCGAAGGCAGAUCACUAAUAAUGUACUGACACUGAGGGACGAAAGCGUGGGGAGCGAACAGGAUUAGAUACCCUGGUAGUCC